rnacentral:rRNA from 1 species
GUCUGCUUGGUAGGCCCUAAAACCACUAAAUCCUGUCUUGAUCUAGGAAGCUAAGCAUGUUUGCCCCUGGCUAGUACUUGGAUGGGAGACCAUCAAGAAAUACCAGGCAUUGCAGGCU